UCAAAAACAAUGAACUACAAAAGUGAGGGCAUCCAGAGAGAGAGAGAGAGAGAGAGAGAGAGAGAGAGAGUAAAGGGAAGAAUGAGUCACCUGGCUUGACUAUACAUAAGGACAGAGAGAGAAAUGAUUACAAUUAUUUGGAAGAGUUAUUAAAAGUACACUUAGUAAGAAACCAUUUUGGUUAUAUAGUCCUGUAUUCUUGAAGAGCAGGAUUUCUAGAUGGACAAUGUGCUCCAUGUUAUAAAAGCUAGUUAACCCUUUAGAACCCAAUAGAAUGUGGAUGUAGAAUACUGCUAAUUCUAAAAAGAAAUGUUUUUUUUUUCAAUGAACCAGACAGCAGAAAAACUAGUUUACAAUUGCAAGUAUAGGCUACUUUGUUUUAAAGAGCACAAACCCCUCUUUAAUAUGACACAAAACAACAUUUACCUCUCAUUGUUGAGAUACUUCCCAUAAAAAAAGAAAAACAAACUAUACUACCAAAUUACUCACACAAAACGUCCUAAUAAUAUAUAUGUGUAACCAGGUGAUGGUUGAGGGGGUUUAAAUACGUAUGUUCGCGAAGUAUAUAUAUCUGCGGAGAAUGUAAUGAGAGGUUCCUUUAAGAAAUGUCAGGUGACGUCAUCGCGCGUCUGUACGAGCGUGUGAGCAUGCGCGCGAUGAGGAAGUCACAGAGUUAUGCUGCACGUGUCCACAAUUGCUGUUCGUGUGUAAUUUAAUAGCAUCCAGGGAGUUGGAUGUUAACGCAGGAUUGCGUGGAUGUGUGAGUGUGGUUGAGCUACCGCACCGCAUGUAUAGACCAGGCCUGUUCACGUGGAAGAAGUGUUAUAUUACUGUGUAAUAUCAGAAACACAAGGGAAAGUGAGUAAUAUACACACUAUGUCAUUUCAGGUGUAUUUAGUGAGUGUUAUUGUAGUCUAAAUGUCUGUGCAGUUUUAAGAUGUUAUGUUUUCUUUAUAGAGUGCCACUACCGUAUUAUUGUUGCUGGUGUUUUAUUUUGACAUUGUUCUUUAUUAUUGCACACAAGAAGAGACGACAAGUUGUACUUUAUAUUAUCAUUAUUUUGGGGUGAACAAUUUGCUGUGUAAUCCAAAGAUAUUUUUGACAUUGUAUUUUGGUUUGUUUUGGGUUUUCUGUCCCAAUUACCUAAUCGAAAAGAAAUAGAAACUCCUAACCAAUUAUAAGGAAUAAAAAUACGAACCUCACUCA